UGGGGAAUAUUGGACAAUGGGCGCAAGCCUGAUCCAGCCAUACCGCGUGGGUGAAGAAGGCCUUCGUGUUGUAAAGCCCUUUUGUUGGGAAAGAAAAGCAAUCGAUUAAUACCCGGUUGUUCUGACGGUACCCAAAGAAUAAGCACCGGCUAACUUCGUGCCAGCAGCCGCGGUAAUACGAAGGGUGCAAGCGUUACUCGGAAUUACUGGGCGGAAAGCGAGCGUAGGAGGUUGUUUAAGUCUGUUGUGAAAGCCCUGGGCUGAACCUGGGAAGUGCAGUGGAUAGUGGGCAACUAGCGUGUGGUAGAGGGUAGUGGAAUGCCCGGUGUAGCAGUGAAAUGCGUAGAGAUCGGGAGGAACAUCCAUGGCGAAGGCAGCUACCUGGACCAACACUGACACUGAGGCACGAAAGCGUGGGGAGCAAACAGG
rnacentral:rRNA from 1 species